rnacentral:rRNA from 1 species
UACGUAGGGGGCUAGCGUUGUCCGGAAUCAUUGGGCGUAAAGAGCGUGUAGGCGGUCCGGUAAGUCCGCUGUGAAAGUCGGGGGCUCAACCCUCGAAUGCCGGUGGAUACUGUCGGGCUAGAGUGCGGAAGAGGCGAGUAGAAUUCCUGGUGUAGCGGUGAAAUGCGCAGAUAUCAGGAGGAACACCUAUUGCGAAGGCAGCUCGCUGGGACGUAACUGACGCUGAGACGCGAAAGCGUGGGGAGCAAACAGG